GGAUAAAUUUUAACCAUCUGGUUAACUAAUGCAAGUAUUAAUGUGGCACCACUAGCAAGAGUCAAGUGCACGUCAGUAAUUUAAAAUAGGUUUAUAUACAGUGCGUUUAUAAUGAUUGUACUUGUGUUGCUUUAUCAUGAUAACGUACUUUUGCUAUGAUACACUUUCAGUAGUCUACUGCUAGCGUCUUUUUGGUGAAAAGUUUGAAACAUUCAUAAAACUCCUUUUGUCUCACCUUUUUUGGUGGCGGGAUGCAAUCGUUCAUUCGGUUCUCUGUGUAGUCAGAGCGCCGUUUAGGUUGCAGUACUUCUACGAUAUAAAUAUCUUGAGCCACUCCUCUUGACUGGAUUUGUUCUUUAUUCAUUCUACGAUGAUGAAGACCCUGAAUGAAGAACCUUUUCUUCCUGUUUGGAAACCACCAUGAUGUUACCAUCAGACACAAGAAAUUGAUGAAAUGGAGCUGCACUUCACAUGGGUUGUGACCUAGAGUCUUAAAACAGUACUGAACAGAGGUCAAAGGUCGACUCUACAGCAAGCUGGAGUAGAAUGUGACAAACCACAUGGAACAAGUCAGCUGACUGUAACAUUUACACCUGUUGUGUGUUACAUACCUGUGCCUGCAGUUGUCGAUCUCCACCUGCUUUUUGGAACAGCUGAACAAGAUCAUCUGAUCAUCACCCACAUUAGUGCAUGACACUUGAUUCUUUAUUUUUUAACGAGCCACGAAAUGUACAUUUGUUUCAAAUCAAUAAUCCAUUUAUCUAUUUAUUUUGAAGGCCAUGUAAACUAGUCAUCAUAAACCCUCUUGAGUUUUGUUGCUAAGUUUAUUUGUUGUUGUUUUUAUAUAAUUUAUAAAGUAAGCUAUGCUUAUAAUGCAGUGUUUACUUAUAGCAUAUUUUAUGAAACUAACAAAUUGUCAAAUGUAAUUGUUUAUUAGUAGCAUUAAAAAAAAAUCAAUACAUAAAUAACAGGUUGUUUCAGGUUUGUCCAGCAUGUGAAUUUACAUGUUUUGUUCCGGUUGGUAACGUGUCCUUUUAAAGGUGAGGUGGUUUUGGGAGGCCUCCCUGGGCUAAUAUAUGCUGAUUCCU